rnacentral:rRNA from 1 species
GACGUAGGGCGCGAGCGUUGUCCGGAUUUAUUGGGCGUAAAGAGCUCGUAGGCGGCUUGUUGCGUCGACUGUGAAAACCCGCGGCUUAACUGCGGGCUUGCAGUUGAUACGGGCAGGCUAGAGUUCGGUAGGGGAGACUGGAAUUCCUGGUGUAGCGGUGAAAUGCGCAGAUAUCAGGAGGAACACCGGUGGCGAAGGCGGGAUCCUGGGCCAGUACUGACGCUGAGGAGCGAAAGCGUGGGGAGCAAACAGG